rnacentral:rRNA from 1 species
UACGUAGGGUGCGAGCGUUAAUCGGAAUUACUGGGCGUAAAGCGUGCGCAGGCGGUUAUGCAAGACAGAUGUGAAAUCCCCGGGCUCAACCUGGGAACUGCAUUUGUGACUGCACGGCUCGAGUGCGGCAGAGGGGGAUGGAAUUCCGCGUGUAGCAGUGAAAUGCGUAGAUAUGCGGAGGAACACCGAUGGCGAAGGCAAUCCCCUGGGCCUGCACUGACGCUCAUGCACGAAAGCGUGGGGAGCAAACAGG